rnacentral:rRNA from 1 species
GGUUAAGCGACUAAGCGUACACGGUGGAUGCCCUGGCAGUCAGAGGCGAUGAAGGACGUGCUAAUCUGCGAUAAGCGUCGGUAAGGUGAUAUGAACCGUUAUAACCGGCGAUUUCCGAAUGGGGAAACCCAGUGUGAUUCGUCACACUAUCAUUAACUGAAUCCAUAGGUUAAUGAGGCGAACCGGGGGAACUGAAACAUCUAAGUACCCCGAGGAAAAGAAAUCAACCGAGAUUCCCCCAGUAGCGGCGAGCGAACGGGGAGGAGCCCAGAGCCUGAAUCAGUGUGUGUGUUAGUGGAAGCGUCUGGAAAGGCGCGCGAUACAGGGUGACAGCCCCGUACACAAAAAUGCACAUAUUGUGAGCUCGAUGAGUAGGGCGGGACACGUGGUAUCCUGUCUGAAUAUGGGGGACCAUCCUCCAAGGCUAAAUACUCCUGACUGACCGAUAGUGAACCAGUACCGUGAGGGAAAGGCGAAAAGAACCCCGGCGAGGGGAGUGAAAAAGAACCUGAAACCGUGUACGUACAAGCAGUGGGAGCACGCUUAGGCGUGUGACUGCGUACCUUUUGUAUAAUGGGUCAGCGACUUAUAUUCUGUAGCAAGGUUAACCGAAUAGGGGAGCCGAAGGGAAACCGAGUCUUAACUGGGCGUUAAGUUGCAGGGUAUAGACCCGAAACCCGGUGAUCUAGCCAUGGGCAGGUUGAAGGUUGGGUAACACUAACUGGAGGACCGAACCGACUAAUGUUGAAAAAUUAGCGGAUGACUUGUGGCUGGGGGUGAAAGGCCAAUCAAACCGGGAGAUAGCUGGUUCUCCCCGAAAGCUAUUUAGGUAGCGCCUCGUGAAUUCAUCUCCGGGGGUAGAGCACUGUUUCGGCAAGGGGGUCAUCCCGACUUACCAACCCGAUGCAAACUGCGAAUACCGGAGAAUGUUAUCACGGGAGACACACGGCGGGUGCUAACGUCCGUCGUGAAGAGGGAAACAACCCAGACCGCCAGCUAAGGUCCCAAAGUCAUGGUUAAGUGGGAAACGAUGUGGGAAGGCCCAGACAGCCAGGAUGUUGGCUUAGAAGCAGCCAUCAUUUAAAGAAAGCGUAAUAGCUCACUGGUCGAGUCGGCCUGCGCGGAAGAUGUAACGGGGCUAAACCAUGCACCGAAGCUGCGGCAGCGACGCUGAUGCGUUGUUGGGUAGGGGAGCGUUCUGUAAGCCUGCGAAGGUGUGCUGUGAGGCAUGCUGGAGGUAUCAGAAGUGCGAAUGCUGACAUAAGUAACGAUAAAGCGGGUGAAAAGCCCGCUCGCCGGAAGACCAAGGGUUCCUGUCCAACGUUAAUCGGGGCAGGGUGAGUCGACCCCUAAGGCGAGGCCGAAAGGCGUAGUCGAUGGGAAACAGGUUAAUAUUCCUGUACUUGGUGUUACUGCGAAGGGGGACGGAGAAGGCUAUGUUGGCCGGGCGACGGUUGUCCCGGUUUAAGCGUGUAGGCUGGUUUUCCAGGCAAAUCCGGAAAAUCAAGGCUGAGGCGUGAUGACGAGGCACUACGGUGCUGAAGCAACAAAUGCCCUGCUUCCAGGAAAAGCCUCUAAGCAUCAGGUAACAUCAAAUCGUACCCCAAACCGACACAGGUGGUCAGGUAGAGAAUACCAAGGCGCUUGAGAGAACUCGGGUGAAGGAACUAGGCAAAAUGGUGCCGUAACUUCGGGAGAAGGCACGCUGAUAUGUAGGUGAAGUCCCUUGCGGAUGGAGCUGAAAUCAGUCGAAGAUACCAGCUGGCUGCAACUGUUUAUUAAAAACACAGCACUGUGCAAACACGAAAGUGGACGUAUACGGUGUGACGCCUGCCCGGUGCCGGAAGGUUAAUUGAUGGGGUCAGCGCAAGCGAAGCUCUUGAUCGAAGCCCCGGUAAACGGCGGCCGUAACUAUAACGGUCCUAAGGUAGCGAAAUUCCUUGUCGGGUAAGUUCCGACCUGCACGAAUGGCGUAAUGAUGGCCAGGCUGUCUCCACCCGAGACUCAGUGAAAUUGAACUCGCUGUGAAGAUGCAGUGUACCCGCGGCAAGACGGAAAGACCCCGUGAACCUUUACUAUAGCUUGACACUGAACAUUGAGCCUUGAUGUGUAGGAUAGGUGGGAGGCUUGGAAGUGUGGACGCCAGUCUGCAUGGAGCCGACCUUGAAAUACCACCCUUUAAUGUUUGAUGUUCUAACGUUGACCCGUAAUCCGGGUUGCGGACAGUGUCUGGUGGGUAGUUUGACUGGGGCGGUCUCCUCCUAAAGAGUAACGGAGGAGCACGAAGGUUGGCUAAUCCUGGUCGGACAUCAGGAGGUUAGUGCAAUGGCAUAAGCCAGCUUGACUGCGAGCGUGACGGCGCGAGCAGGUGCGAAAGCAGGUCAUAGUGAUCCGGUGGUUCUGAAUGGAAGGGCCAUCGCUCAACGGAUAAAAGGUACUCCGGGGAUAACAGGCUGAUACCGCCCAAGAGUUCAUAUCGACGGCGGUGUUUGGCACCUCGAUGUCGGCUCAUCACAUCCUGGGGCUGAAGUAGGUCCCAAGGGUAUGGCUGUUCGCCAUUUAAAGUGGUACGCGAGCUGGGUUUAGAACGUCGUGAGACAGUUCGGUCCCUAUCUGCCGUGGGCGCUGGAGAACUGAGGGGGGCUGCUCCUAGUACGAGAGGACCGGAGUGGACGCAUCACUGGUGUUCGGGUUGUCAUGCCAAUGGCACUGCCCGGUAGCUAAAUGCGGAAGAGAUAAGUGCUGAAAGCAUCUAAGCACGAAACUUGCCCCGAGAUGAGUUCUCCCUGACCCUUUAAGGGUCCUGAAGGAACGUUGAAGACGACGACGUUGAUAGGCCGGGUGUGUAAGCGCAGCGAUGCGUUGAGCUAACCGGUACUAAUGAACCGUGAGGCUUAACCUU